UAGGAGGAUGAAGGCACUGCCAGAGCCUGACUUCCUACUAUGAAAAAGUGUUCCAGGAACAUCAGAUUGGAGAAACUGACCCACUGGAACUUAAAACAUACUUGGUGCAAAUGGCUUCAUCUAGAUUUGGGAAGUCAUCCAGGAGUAUUUGAAUCCAAGGUGGGGUCUGCUCAUCAGUGGUCUGUUUCAAACGCUGCCUGGUGAUUUGGUUCACAGCAAGGAUUAAGACCCACUGGAUUAGACUGAAAGCUCCAUGAAGAUAGGACAGUUGACUGUCUAGCUCGCCAUCAUACCACCUUUUCUAGUUCAGUGCUGGAAACAUGGUGGCGCAGUGGUUGAGAAUCCGCCUGCCAAUGCAGGGGACGCAGGUUCAAUCCCUGCUCCAGGAAGAUCCCACAUGCCGCGGAGCAGCUGGGCCGGUGUGCCGCAACUAUUGAGCCUGUGCUUUAGAGCCUGUGAGCCACAACUGUUGAGCCCAAGUGCUGCAGCUACUGGGGCCCAUGCGCCUAGAGCCCGAGCUUCGCAACAAGAGAAGCCACGGCAACGAGGAGCCUGUGCACCGCAGUGAAGAAUAGCCCCCACUCACUGCAACUAAAAAGAAAACCCC